ACCACAUAUGGGAAGCAAGACCAGCAUCCAGGAAGGCUCUAGAACUCACUUUACCACCUCCAGAAUUCUCUCUUCUCCAAAUUCUCAAGACUGCACCACUGCAUAGAGGAGGAAUGUGCUGAGGUUCAGAGUGCUGGGGCCCAACUUCAGAAUCAGAAAGGAAGGAGGCUCAGCCACCAUCCUGGCUGAACAGAACCCCCAAGCAGGAGGGAUAAUCCCAUGAUAACAACAGGAAAGAGCACCUGGGAUCCAAUAUUUUAUUUAUGGUGCAUCUGAGGCCCAGAGAGAAGUGACACAUCUGAGCUUAUACAACAGAGUUGGACCUAGAAUCCACUAUAUACUUUCUAUCCCACUUGUCAACCUCCUCAGGGGCCAGAGACAGGAGUUAAGAUAGAAGCCCUCAGCCCUCAGGAUUAGUGCCUUCCUGCUGGGACACCAAGCCUAGCAUUGCAAUGGGAGUGUCUGGGGGCAUAUGCCACCAGGCUCAAGGGCAGGGGUUGUGAUAGGAGUGGGGUUGGACUGAAGGGCCUGGCUUGAAGGACUUGCUGAUGUGCACCCUGGAGUUCUGUUUUACUUAACCUUCUGGAAAGAGAACCUCCCUGUGCAUGUAUGAAGGCCAAGGUUAAAGAUAAGGAAGGCCUUGCUCAUACCAUGGUAGGACAGGGUCUCACUAAAUUAUCAGGCUGACCUGGAAUUUACAAUCCUUCUCUCUCAGCCUCCCCAGUACCUGGGAUUACAGGGCUGUGCCACUACACCUGGCUAUUCCUGGGCAGCCUCACCUGGAGGAGCUCCCACGCACACAUGAUAAAGUUUGAUGAAUAAACUUGUGAGGCCACCUGUGUGCGCACCUGUGAGAUUGCUGCUUACAGUCAUUCCUGGGGACGUUAUGGGUGCCUGUCCUUAGCUGCCAGGAGCCUCCAGGUGGCUCUUCCAGGACCCAGUACUUUCAUCUCUCAGACCUGCCCUGAAGCCCAGGAAACUGCCCUGAAGGCCGCACCACACCGCCCGGGGCCUGGGAAGAGCACAAAGCCACCACGAGGCCAAGCCACCGGAAGCCGCCCCGCCCUCCCGCGGACAUUCCUCCUGACAACGGCUGCCUCGGGAAUCCCCGGAAUGAGGAGGCCCGGGCCUCCCAAACCCACUCCCCUCCACCCCGCAUCUAUGCGUGCGCGCUCCAGGCCUGCAGCCCUGCGCCCUGCUCCCCACGCCCAUCCCCAGCGCCCGGUCCUUGGCAGGCCCUGCUGCCUCUCGGGCGGCUACUCUCCGAAUGUAAAAUGGGGGGCUUGGGGUCAGUGGCUGCUGAAUCCCCCACGGAUCACAAACACGUAACAAACGUGAACAGGCUUUGGGGCCAGAGUGACCAGGUUGAAAUCCGCAUCUGCCCUAAUUUACCUGUGAAUUCAGUGCCCUGGGCACCAGCUUUCCCCCUAAAACUGGGUUGAUAUAUACCAGCACCUUCUCAUUGGCCAACCAGAGGCUAAUCUGUCAAAAUCUAUGAAUGGGGACCAGUGAUUAACUCGGUCCAAAACCCAGCUGGACACCAUCCCCAGUCCUUUCUCAAGCCCAGUGCAGAUUUUGGCCCCUGGGCAUUUGCCCAACCAUUGGCCACACCAAUGGAAGCUAAGAAGACCAUCCCUCUGCAGGUUCCAUAACCCCUCCUAUUAGCCAUGAAGUUGUGAAUGGAUAAACCCAUAAAGAAUUUGGGUGUCAAAUAAAAGUUGAAAGGUAGGAAACCCA